AGAGUUUGAUCCUGGCUCAGGACGAACGCUGGCGGCGCGCCUAACACAUGCAAGUCGAACGAGAGAGAGGGAGCUUGCUUCCUUGAUCGAGUGGCGAACGGGUGAGUAACGCGUGAGGAACCUGCCUCAAAGAGAGGACAACAGUUGGAAACGACUGCUAAUACCGCAUAAGCCCACGGCUCGGCAUCGAGCAGAGGGAAAAGGAGCAAUCCGCUUUGAGAUGGCCUCGCGUCCGAUUAGCUAGUUGGUGAGGUAAUGGCCCACCAAGGCGACGAUCGGUAGCCGGACUGAGAGGUUGAACGGCCACAUUGGGACUGAGACACGGCCCAGACUCCUACGGGAGGCAGCAGUGGGGAAUAUUGCACAAUGGGGGAAACCCUGAUGCAGCGACGCCGCGUGGAGGAAGAAGGUCUUCGGAUUGUAAACUCCUGUUGUUGAGGAAGAUAAUGACGGUACUCAACAAGGAAGUGACGGCUAACUACGUGCCAGCAGCCGCGGUAAAACGUAGGUCACAAGCGUUGUCCGGAAUUACUGGGUGUAAAGGGAGCGCAGGCGGGCGAUCAAGUUGGAAGUGAAAUCCAUGGGCUCAACCCAUGAACUGCUUUCAAAACUGAUUGUCUUGAGUAGUGCAGAGGUAGGCGGAAUUCCCGGUGUAGCGGUGGAAUGCGUAGAUAUCGGGAGGAACACCAGUGGCGAAGGCGGCCUACUGGGCACCAACUGACGCUGAGGCUCGAAAGUGUGGGUAGCAAACAGGAUUAGAUACCCUGGUAGUCCACACCGUAAACGAUGAUUACUAGGUGUUGGAGGAUUGACCCCUUCAGUGCCGCAGUUAACACAAUAAGUAAUCCACCUGGGGAGUACGACCGCAAGGUUGAAACUCAAAGGAAUUGACGGGGGCCCGCACAAGCAGUGGAGUAUGUGGUUUAAUUCGACGCAACGCGAAGAACCUUACCAAGUCUUGACAUCCUGCGGCGAUGCUAGAAAUAGUAUUUUCCUUCGGGACGCAGAGACAGGUGGUGCAUGGUUGUCGUCAGCUCGUGUCGUGAGAUGUUGGGUUAAGUCCCGCGACGAGCGCAACCCUUAUGGUCAGUUACUACGCAAGAGGACUCUGGCCAGACUGCCGUUGACAAAACGGAGGAAGGUGGGGAUGACGUCAAAUCAUCAUGCCCUUUAUGACUUGGGCUACACACGUACUACAAUGGCGUUAAACAAAGAGAAGCAAGACCGCGAGGUGGAGCAAAACUCAGAAACAACGUCCCAGUUCGGACUGCAGGCUGCAACUCGCCUGCACGAAGUCGGAAUUGCUAGUAAUCGCAGAUCAGCAUGCUGCGGUGAAUACGUUCCCGGGCCUUGUACACACCGCCC
rnacentral:rRNA from 1 species